GAUGAACGCUGGCGGCGUGCUUAACACAUGCAAGUCGAACGAGGUCCAACCUUCGGGUGAAGACCUAGUGGCGAACGGGUGAGUAACACGUGGGCAAUCUGCCCUCCACUUCGGGAUAACCCCCGGAAACGGGAGCUAAUACCGGAUACUUCGGAACGGUCGCAUGGCCGAUCCGAGAAAGCUCCGGCGGUGGAGGAUGAGCCCGCGGCCCAUUAGCUUGUUGGCGGGGUAAUGGCCCACCAAGGCGACGAUGGGUAGCCGAGCUGAGAGGCUGAUCGGCAAGGCUGGGACUGAGACAGGGCCCGGACUCCUACGGGAGGCAGCAGUGGGGAAUCUUGCGCAAUGGGCGAAAGCCUGACGCAGCAACGCCGCGUGCGGGAUGAAGGCUCUCGGGUCGUAAACCGCUUUCAGCAGGGAUGAAACUGACAGUACCUGCAGAAGAAGCCCCGGCUAAAUACGUGCCAGCCGCCGCGGUAAAAC
rnacentral:rRNA from 1 species